rnacentral:RNase_P_RNA from 1 species
UGUGGAUGCGGAUAUGAUCGCGGCUGAAAGCCGAGGAAAGUCCGGACUCCAAGGGGAAAUGGUGCCGGAUAACGUCCGGCCGAGGCAACUCGAGGGAAAGCGCAACAGAAAGCAAACCGCCUGUAAAGGUAAGGGUGAAAAGGUGCGGUAAGAGCGCACCAUUCUUUUGGUAACAAAAGAAGUUAGGCAAGCCCCACCAGGAGCAAGGUCAAAUAGGAGCCAGAAUUGAUCCCCUUAAAUGGCUCGGGUAGACCGCUAGAAUUUAGGGGUAACUCUAAAUCGAGACGAAUGAUCAUCAAGAGAAUACUCAGAACAGAAUCCGGCUUACAAGCAUCCACACAUU